UACAAAGGGGGCUAGCGUUGCUCGGAAUCACUGGGCGUAAAGCGCACGUAGGCGGGUUGCUAAGUCGGGGGUGAAAUCCUGGAGCUCAACUCCAGAACUGCCUUCGAUACUGGCGACCUUGAGUCCGGGAGAGGUGAGUGGAACUCCGAGUGUAGAGGUGAAAUUCGUAGAUAUUCGGAAGAACACCAGUGGCGAAGGCGGCUCACUGGCCCGGUACUGACGCUGAGGUGCGAAAGCGUGGGGAGCAAACAGG
rnacentral:rRNA from 1 species